rnacentral:rRNA from 1 species
GUCUGGUUAAUUCCGAUAACGAACGAGACCUUGACCAGCUAAAUAGUUACGCAAUUUUCGAAUUAGCAGCAAUUAAAGUAACUUCUUAGAGGGACUGUUGGUGUUUAACCAAAGAAAGAAAGGCAAUAACAGGUCUGUGAUGCCCUUAGAUGUUCUGGGCCGCACGCGUGCUACACUGGUGAAUACAACGAGUAUUACGACCUUAACCGAAAGGUUUGGGUAAUCUUAUGAAAGUUCAUCGUGACAGGGAUUGAUCAUUGCAAUUAUUGAUCAUGAACGAGGAAUUCCUAGUAAAGGCGAGUCNUCAUCUCG